CCACCAAGGAGAUUUCCUAUGCGGAGCUCCAGCCCCUUGUUGGAAAGAGUACAAAUUUGUUACUGGUAGAUGUAAGAGGAAAGGAGGAAUAUGAAAGAGGGAACAUCCCCGGUUCAAUAAACAUUCCAGUAGACACAGUGGAGCAGCCUUUUCUAUGUCGCCAGAAGAGUUCAAGGCCAAGUAUGGAGUCACCAAGCCUCAGACAGAUGCCCCUGAGUUGGUUUUUCACUGCCAAAUGGGCAGAAGAGGGGCAGUUGCCACUAACAAGGCUCAUGAGAUGGGUUACAAAAAUGCGAGGAAUUAUGCUGGGGCAUUCAAGGAGUGGUCUGAAAAACAGUGACAGAGAAGUUUUCUCCUUGAUACGAUUUAAUGAUUUUGUCUUGUGACAGUUUUACUCAUUGUUUUACUGUUGUUUUGUGUUGUUUUGCUACUGGAUGUGCUACACAAAAGAAGGAAUAAAAUUGAGUUGCUGGGGGGAAAAAAUGUUUCGAUUGGCUCCGAUGUGUUUUAAUUUAAUUAGGCUAAGUAUGUUAAAUUCAUGCACAGGUUAGCUGAAAUGUUGUUAUAACUUAGUUUAUCUUUACCUGUGACGCUGAAAUGCUGGUGAUGUAUAGGAUUACAAAAGGAACAGGUUGAUUGAUAAUAAGGAAAAGGACUAAGUAGUAUACGUGAUUGCUAGCAGACCUUCUCAAAGGCCACAGCUGAGCCUCUUGUCUUGUUAAUUUUCGCGCGCUGAGCAUUUGGGUUUGGGUUUCCCACAACGAUCAGUCGGGCAGGGUUCAAUAUCAAGAAUGAUUCAAGAAAUUAAAGAGGUGCUUCGUCUGCUCAUGUUAAUGGUGAAACAAAACAAGAGUAAAUGCUUUGAUAAUAUUGGCGGACUUCUGGUUCUCAUAUGCACUGAAACGGAUCCCGAUGUCCGAAGUUUCAACUGCACAGUUGCUGCUGCUGGUCCGUGGUGUGCAGGAAUUCAAAUGCAAGAACUCCACCCAGUCUUUACAGAUUUACUGAACAGACUGUGUCCCUCCCUUGGAUCGUGUCCAGAGCCUGACAUAGAAGACUUGUGUGCCUUUACAGAUUUGCACGGUUCCCUCAAUGUAUUUCUGUCCUUUCCGAUAAGUAAUCCAGACAUUGUCAGACCAAAGUGGCAUCAUCAGAUCGAAACAUUUUUCCACACAUUUAGUUUGACGAAUGCAGGGAUCCAAGUUCAGCUUAAACUCAGAAUUAAUCAAAAACGUUUUCAAAGAGAAUAUAGAGUAAAAGAAUACCUCAGAGUUCCUUUGUCAGGCCACCGACUACUCUCCUUGGACGUCUCUGUCAAAACAACCCAUCGAAAGUCUUCUCAGAAUGGACCACGUUGCUAUGGCGGCCACCCUGACAUUGGCGAGAGCAUACUUCUCAGUAUUCCUCCCAAAGCCAUGGAACAAGGCCUUUUUGGAACUGUCACCCUUCAGCCUGUGUCCCUGCUGAGCCCUUGUGUGCUGCAGUACCCAAAUGCUGGAACAAACCUCAGUCACAUAAAAGUGUUGAUUUACAGUCCCAGCAAUAUUCCUGUUACAAGCCUUCUGCAUUCAUGCAGAACCUCGCAGCUCAUCUGGACUUUAAUGAAGUGGGUCUGCAGAGUGACCGCCUGA
ensembl:lncRNA